UACAGUGCAUGUUUGUUUAUUGUUUCUCUCUACAUCUCAUCACAAUGUUUAUCUUGAUGAUUUGAUGUCAAACUGAGAUGUCCAUGCGACGAUACGCAACACGAAUCCACUGGACAGAGGUACGAUUGGGUGCCACAUCUCUUCUAAGCUUAAAAUAAAAUCGUCUUUUGGAAGCAUCUUAUACUUAAAUUCAUGAUGAUGUUUAUUGUGUUGUGGCAUAAUUUUUAAACUAUUUCCUUGAGACUUUAAGAAUGCAUACUUUGAUGCCAUACUGUAUCUAGAAAGGACAGGAUGUCUUUAUAGUGUUAGGCUUGCGUACUUUGAUACCAGAUUUUAUCUAGAAAUUAUAACCAUGAUCUGAUUUAAAUACUUGUACUCGGCACAAUGCUAUUGAAAUCGACGUAUAUUUGCAAUGUUUACAUACAUCUCUCAUUACUAAAGUGCAAAGGCAAGUAGAUUGGAUGUUGCUUUCAAAAGUGGCCAGUGUAUCGAUACACUGUUUCACAUCGAAAGUUCCCUUUGGAUACACCCUUAUGGAAGGGGACAUUCAUUUGAAUUAGGAUGAAUUGGCGGGAGACGGAUAAUAAGGGUGUCGUAGUCAUGGUUUUCAAAGCGUCGCCUAAGCGUCGCCCCCGGCGACGUCAAGGCGUCGUUCUCGCCUUAGAUUUCUGACUAAGGCGUCCUGAGGCGUCGCGUUGGCGUCCUGGGGCGUCGCCUAGGCGCUGAAAUCGCCGCUUCGAUCCAUUCUGGAUGCUCUCGAGCAGGAAACAAAGAUCGGGCGGGAGAAACCAAAAUUGGCAGGCAUAAGCGGGAGAGGAAGUGAAAUUUGAGAGAAAUUGGAGUAGGGGGAGAGAGGGGAACACCAGGAGCUCCCGCCCAUCCACCUCCGCCGCCAGGAAGCUCCCCGCAGCCCGCCAGAUGCCCCGUUGGCCUCUCCCUCAGCGGGAAACAGAGCUAGAAGGCCCAGAACUUAGAAAUCGGUGGGAGAAACUGAAAUUGGUGGGAGAGAAAGAGAAAUUGGAAGGAAAACGAGUUGGGAGAGAGAGGGGAACACACCAGUGGUAUAAUUCGUGGGAAAAGAGAGAGAAGAGCUCCCGCCGACCAGAUCCCAUCCUCCUCCGCCAGUCCGUCGCCAGGCUGCUGCCCGCCAGAUCCCCUCCUCCCCCGCCAGUGGUAUAAAUCGUGGGAAUUCAAGAUAUGAAUCAGGUUUUCUGUCUACUCAUGUCUGCCAUAUUAGUUCCCCUAGCCUUUGCAAAAAUUGACUAAGGCGUCGCCUCGCUUUGCGCUUUGAGCGCCUAGGCGUUGAGGCGCCCCCCCAACGCCUUAAAGCACCUGGACGCUUUGUAAAGCAUGGUCGUAGUUAUAUCUAUUUGACAUGAUGAUUUUAUAGUGCAACUUAAUUGGUUUGUUUUGGCACUGGCAUAUAUAGUGACGAAACUCACCAUGGAGGUGCUGCUAAAUGUCUUCUUAAAUUCCAAGACAUGAAGUCUUCCAUCCUCCUUUGUAACUGAGGUUGCUUAAUAUGAUUGUAUAUCAACAUCAUUUGAAAUUAAUGUUAGGUUUAUGUACAAAAUAUUUUCUAAGGUGCGAACAAACACCGAUUGUCGGCUACGCUAUCUUGAAGGGCGUUGCAAGGUCGAUAAAUCGAAAACACGAACCUGGACCAUGAGCUUAGUAGCCAUCACACAACCUGAGCAUCGUGCGAUGGAGGUGACGAUGAAAUGUAAUGGAACAACGAUCAUGAAACUCGAUCACCUGCAUGCUAUCAACCAAGUAUAUCUUGCCCCUCCUUAUCCUUGAUCAAACGCUCUAGGUCCAUGAAGAAACAACAUCUGCAUUGUCACACAAUAGGACUGUGUUGCACCCUAGAUGCAGAGGCCGGAAGCCGGAACUCUUUUGUAGACGUAUCAACUCCUCGAUACUUGGUCAAAGAAUGGAUUACAAAAUACUUUCCACUAAAGGAAAAACAAACAUGUAUGUACAUGUAUGCUUUACAUGAUUCUAUCGAACAUCUUUUCGAAAACAUAUGGCCAAUCGUUGCGGGCUUGCACAAAGCGACAUCUCUUGACUUCAUACGAUAAGAGCACCAAGCUACACGUACGGUCAUGUACUUCUGUUUUUGGAUGUGUGCACACUUGAUGCAGAGGCUGGAAGCCUGAACUCUUUUGUCGAUGUAUCGGCUACUCUCGAUGCUUCUUGAGAGAAUCUACAAAAUGCUUUCCAUUAAAGGAAAAAAGUAUGCCAUCUAUGAAUAAGAAUUGAUUACAAACCCCAAAGAGCACAAAAUUACAAGUAUGCCCUUACUCAUACUUGCCUCCCAGGCACGCAGGAAGAAAGUAUAUGAACAGAGAAGAGACCGCUAACUUCGUAUAUCCCUUUUGCUAUGGAAUACAUUUGUAGUCAGUACAAUCCACCAUUGCAAGCACGUAGCCUAUUGCCAAAGAUGGGUAAACUGAUCGACAUUAACCUGGAGACUGAUCAGGAAGAUACCUCACCCAAGAACCUUUUGGAAAACCUCGCCAUGGAGCCAAAGGAAGAAUACCUCUCUGUUGCCGAUGAUACGGAAAAGACCAAUGCAUCAGAGAAUAAUGAGCCCGUAGACUGCGUGGGGACCGCUUGAAGGAAAUUGGAGCGUCGCCAGAACGUGGGCCUCCAGUAAAUGAGGUUGAAGAGGACCUCAUCCACAUCUUGAUCAUCUCGCCUUCGGAGGUUGCUCUUGCGCUACCGUAGACCGUAAGUAAUUGCGGAUUUGGCUCCACAAGAAAUGGAGACUAAUGCCAACGGUUUGAAAAGAGAACAUGCAAUAUCUCCCACCUGCUUCCACGAUCAGGAGAUAGUAUGACGUGCACACCAUCGUCGAUUACAGACGCAGAUAAACAACAUUGAUGAAGAAGGAUCAUUUGCUAUGGAACGACUUAACCUUCCAUGGUAAAAAUAAAUGGAGAACAUUAUAUCACCGAGAUAUAAAAUGAGAAGUCAAAUGAAAGAUCUUAUAGAAUUACCGGCACCGACGCUUAGUUGUUGGAGCCAAGGGACAACAAGGACUGUCGUGAUGUCGUUGCCAACUUAAUGCUCAACGUCGUGCUCGCCACAUCCUCCACCUGCUGUUGUUGAGUGUCUUAAUAUUUAACAAAUUAAUGAAUUCCCCACUAGCAGAAGCAUGCGGAAAUAAGAAGUUGCAUGGCAUUGUGUUCCCAACACAUAUAUAUCCUCCCCAUUCACGUGCAUAGGUUCUAACGCGGUUAACCCAUGCCUUUCAUUGUUCGUGUACACGGCAUAUCAUCCUAUAGACUUCACACAUUUAGUCAUGUCUUUCACUGUUUGUGUACCUUGCAUAUCAUCGUAUACACUUCUCACAUGAAGCCAUCUCUUCUAUUGUUCGUGAACAACCGCAUAUACUCGUAUACCCUUCAAUGUACAUUUCACACAUUAUGGCAUGUCUUCCCAUCUUUGUGUAUGUUGUGCCGUACAAAUCUCGGUAACAAUUGAUGUUGUUUCAUCUUUUUUUUUGUUACCUCUGGCACGGGCCUUCUUAAUCUCGUUGUUCUUUAGUAGUGGAGUAAAAUAUGAGAUGAGAUGAUAAGGGACGGGAUGGACGUAACAUACGCGAGGGCCGCAGUUGCCAUCAAAGAUGGCGAAUAAGUGCCUCAAGGAGCUGGCGGCCCAGACGCAGAUGCCCAUGGAGAGUGCCACCAUGUCCUCCAUUUACCACAUGUGGCCCGACAGCGCCACCGACUCGAACGCAGGUCGACAUCCCUGCUGUCAGAGCAAGAUGAGGAUGGGUGGGUGUUCUCCAAGCCUGUUGAGGUAUAUGUCCUCGGCCUCCACGACUACUAUACCGAGAUUUUUUAUUUCUUACCCUAUGGAUCUCGACGACGUCAGCAAUGCCUCAAGUGUCGUUGCUUUGCAGAUCCGCUCGCAUUCGCUAAGGAUGUAACUAUGUACGACUUACCUUCUGCAACGCCAUGACCUACAUUAAGGGCAAUAAUGGGUAUGCGAACCUUGCUGAGCUCUCCUGCAUACCCUAGUCAGGGUGGGCAUCCAUUCUUGUGGAGGUCACCCCGCCUCCGUUGGAGUGAUAAGAGGAGGUUCAAGGACGAGGUGUCGUGGCUGCCGCAAGCUUGCAGGGGAAGGGGAAAGGAGGCGGUGGGAGGUUACUAAUACCUUGUUUUUUAUUUUUUUUCUAUACAACACAUAUCCUUAUAUACAAUUCAAUGUGCAUUCAAUGUGCAUUUCACACAUUAAGCCGUGUAUUAUAGUGUUUAUGUACAUCACACAUCAUUUUAUACACUUCACACAUUAAGCCAUGCCUUUGGAUUUUUGUGUACAACGUGUAUGCUUGUAUACACUUCAAUGUAUAUUUCACACAUUAAGCUAUGUCUUUCAUUCUUUGUGUCCAACGCGUCUCGGAUUAGACCCAAAAAGGUGCCUCAGAAAAUAAUGUCACGUCGAAGAUGUACUUUGAUGAAUGCCUUUUAUCAGGCACUCGGAGGCUAUUAUGAGGCACUUGGUGAAAAAAAGUAAUAUCUCUAACGGAACAAAUUAAUAGACGAUGGUGUUACGACUUUGCUGAGUGUCGAUGGAACAAAUUUGCCGAGUGUAACACAUCGGAAAGAUGGAAAACAUAAGUUUUUAAGAAAUAAAAAAAUUAAGGGGCGCAUAGGCUGGCCACACAUGUUCCUGUCGCAAUGAUGCCUGAUUGCCUACAUAACACCCACCUUCAUCACCCACAUAUUGCAAUCGCUGCGAUCAAGCCUUGGAAAAAAACGUCGCCGUUGCGGAGAUUACUAGCCUCGGAAAAAACAUAUCCGACGACAUAGCAUGCCUGUACUAGGGUGCUGUCGGAGUAACAGGGCUCUAAUACCAAAUGUUGCAUCAGCCCUAGCUUCCGCAUCCUACCGCAACAUGUUUUCGUGUCGUGACAGUGGAAAGAACAUAAAGAGCAGAAUGAGGCCGGGCGCUAAGGAGGAUGAGGAGGAGAAGACGGGGCAUGCAUGGGCAGCAUGCUUUCUCGAGUAUUUCCAGUUUCUGUAUUGCUCCCCCCCCCCCCACCCCCCUCCCCAAGGGAUUUUGGCGGUCUGCGUCGCAAUGGGUCACUCCUUAUCUAUUGUAAAACAUUAAACAUAAUAUUCGAUAGGGAAGAAGGGGGGAAAGCUAGCUUGGACUCAAUCAAUGUUGUUGCUAGUAGAAUACAAAUGGCACUUUGUAAGUUUGUGGUAAAUACACUUUGGAAAGGAAGGCGUAAAAGCUGGCUGAAACGGAAGAUGUAAAUUGACUAGGCGACCGACCAAGGAAAUAAUAAUGCUGAUAUACAAUAAGAGAUACUAGGUAGUACUAUAAAAAUUGUAAGAAGAGCUAUGUUUCUAUGGGUUGGAUCACAUGCACUAGUAGGAUAAUUAGGGGCGAUAUUAUGAAGUAAAAUAUGACAUGAGAUGAUAAGGGACGGUAUGGGGAUAAUGACAUAACAUACACGAGGGCCGUAGUUGCCAUCGAAGAUGGCAAAAAUAAGUGCAUCAGGGAGCCGUCGGCCCGACGUAGAUGCGCAGACAGAGCGCCAACAUGUCCUCCAUUUGCCAUAUGCGGCCCGACAGCACCACCGACUCGAAUGCAUGCCCACAUCCCUGCCGUCAGAGCAGCAUGAGGACUGGUGGGUGUACUCAAAGCCGGUUAAGGUGUAUGUCAUCAGCCUCCGCGACUACUAUACCGAGGUUUCUGAUUUCUGUCCCCAUGGAUCUCAACAACGUUAGCAACUGCCUCAAGCGCUAUGAUGUGUAUGCAAACCUUGAUGAGCUCUCCUGCAUGCUUGAGUCAGGGUGGGCAUCCAUUCUUGUGGAGGUCACUCGUCGUUGGAGCGAUAAGAGGAGGCUCAAGGGCGAGGUGUUGUGGCUGCGGCAAGCUUGUAGGGGAAGGGGAAAGUAGGCGCUGGGAGGUUCAUUAAGGGAGAAGGGGGUCUGGCCAUGGCCGUACCAUUUGCAUGGCGAUGGAGACAUGGCGCCUCCACAACAAACUCUAUCUCUUUGACAACGGUAAUGAAAACGACCUAUUUUGAGUUUUGAGAAGAAGCAUGGUAGCUACCAUUGUCACCAUUACGGAAAAAUGUUUACUGCAUUAGCAUCAUAGACAGUUCAGACUUUAGAGCUUGUUCCAAGUUCCAGACCGCGCCAUAUACAAGGACUUUAAUUUGGUGGAAUACUUGAUGUGGACCGAAUUGGUGUUUAAGCUGUUUUAACAGAGAACAUUUCACACAUUAAUGUACUCUAAAACCUCGUCUUACACUUCUUUUGUACAACACAUAUCAUUAUAUACAAUUCAACGUGUGUUUCACACAUUAAGCGAUGUAUUACAAUGUUUAUGUACAUCACACAUCCUUGUAUGCCUGAUGCCUCAGAAGGAAUUAGGCAUACAUGUUUUUUUCUCUUGGCAUCUCUCUCUCUCUCUCUCUCUCCAUGAUGCACCCCAAUUUGUUGAACCAUCUGAAGUAGUCCAAGAUGCUGCUGCUUCUUCAGUCUUUGCUUUUGUUGAUGUACCUGACCUCUAUGGCGCUGCAUCCUGCAAAUGUAACCAAUACGCGUUAUAGCAAAGCACGCAAAUAUCCACUUACACAUUACCAAGAUAGCACCGAUCUCUCUCUCUCAAAAAGAAAGAAAGAAAUAUGGCACUGACCUAUGUGCUACUUGCGAACGGAAUACUGACCUAUGUGCUACUUGCGAACGGAAUACCGAAUUUUAUCGAAGUUCCUCUUCUUGCACUUUGUCUAUAUCAGAGAAUACAGAUAAUAAACAUCAGCACCAUGUAAUUGCGAAGUUUCUCAAUUGAUAAAUGGUACAACUCGAUCACCAAGAGAGGUCUAAAUCUUAGUGGAUGACGACGAUGCUCAGCCCAGUGCCCAGGCCAGUCCCUUCCUCCAAGCAACAAGAGCACCACCUUCACCUAUGGAAAUGGAAUGGCCAUUUCAAGGGCAAGCCCAUCCGAUCCCAAGAUCCCAUCGAAGCACACGGGGCUAUACAAUCAAGCAAAGGAGUGGAAUUUACAGAGAAAUUAUCAGAGCAACACGACAUCUUGGCAGAUACAGACUCGAAGACCAACACCUCGCCCAGGAACGACAGGGUGAGCGUGUUCGACUGCAGCCGGCCGUGGCUUGCAAUCAACAACACUUGCCUUUUGUGCCGCUACCAACUCCUAACGACAGAUGAUACUAGGGCUCCUCUGCAACCACUACUACCAUGUCAACUGCAUCCGGUCAUGGCUUGCAAUCAACAAAACUUGCACUGCGUGCCGCUACCAACUCCCAACGACAGACGAUGCUGGGGCUCAUCAGGGUCCACAUGUAUGGAGGAGGCUGACUCGGUCUGAUCGGCUCCCCAUCUUAGUGUUCUAAGUACAGUACGCGGAGGCACUGUUUUCCAUCCAACAACAAUCGCUAACUCUCACGCGUCUGAAACCAUCCCCUCUGACACUUUAUCCACGCUUCAGUAAGCAUGUGUCAGAGAUGACUCUAGUACGUCAGAGGAACUCCUACACCUCUGACAAUUCCAGUGAGGUUACUCAGAGCCAAUUGCUUGGCUGACAUUGCCAAGAGCGUAGCACCGCAACUGUCGAGAUGUGCUUCAGUGAGGAUCAGUGAUGUAUACACAACAAUGUGCUAUGUGACAUACACGAUAAUGUGUUAUGUGAUCUACACAACAUAGGCCGUGUGACUAUGGUUAGGCAAUGUCGACAACUUGUAGUGAGGUUACUCAAAGACAAUUGUUUGGCUGACACGCCAAGAGUGUAGCGCCGGCCCUGUCGAGAUGUGCAUCAGUGAGGAUAAGUUAUGUGAUAUACAUAAUAAUGUGUUAUGUGAUCUACACAACAAAGUUGACGACGUCAUGCGCGUCAGUGGAGGCCUUAACUGAGGCACCGGUCAGCAAAGAGGAGGCGGAGUGCGAAUGCGCUGUGUGCAAGUAAGUCUUCGCGAUGGGGGAACUAUCCUCACAUCCGUCCGUGGCUUGCAAUCGACAGCACCUGCCCUGUGUGCCGCUACCAACUCCCAACGACAGAUGAUGUGGGGGCUUCCUGGCAACUAUUACUACCAUGUCGACUGCAUCCGGCCGAGGCUUGCAAACAACAAAACUUGCCCAUUUUGCUGCUACCACCUCCCAACCACAUAUGAUGUUGGGGCUCAUCAGGGUCCACAUGUAUGGAGGAGGCUGACUCGUUCUGACCGGCUCUCCUUACUAUUCUUAGUACAGUAUGCGGAGGCACUGUUUUCCGUCUGACAACAACUGUUAAUCACUCACGUGUUUGAAACCAUCCGCUCUGACACUAUAGCCACACUUCAGUAAGCAUGCGUCAGAGAUCACUCGAGUACGUAAGAGGAACUCCAACACCUUCGACACUUCCAGUGAGGUUACUCAUACUAAAUUGUUUGGCUGACACUGCCAAAAGUGUAGCGCCGCAGCUGUCGAGAUGUGCUUCAAUGAGGAUAAGUGAUCUAUACACAACAAUGUGCUAUGUGAUAUACACAAUAAUGUGUUAUGCGAUCUACACAAAAAAGGCCGUGUGACUAUGGUUACGCAAUGUCGAUAACUUCCAGUGAGGUCACUUAGAGACAAUUGUUUGGCUCUUAACGUUGCCGACUUCACGCGCAUCAGCAAAGGCCUUAACUGAGGCACCGGUCAGCGAAGAGGCGGAGUCUAGCUGCGCUGUGUGGACAAAAGUCUUUGUGGCGGGGGAACGUGUCCUCUGGCUCCCCUGCAACCACUCCUACCAUGUCAACUGCAUCCGGCCGUGGCUUGGAAUCAACAGCAAUUGCCCUGUGCCGCUACCAACACCCAACGGCAGAUGAUGCUGGGGCUCCCCUGCAACCAUUACUACCAUGUCGACUGCAUCCGGCCAUGGCUUGCAAUCAACAACACUUGCCCUGUGUGCUGCUACCAACUCAAAUGACCGAUGAUGCCGGGGCUCAUCAGGGUCCACAUGUAUGGAGGAGGCUGACUCGGUCUGACCGGCUCUCCUUAGUAUUCUUAGUGCAGUAUGUGGAGGCACUGUUUUCCAUCCGACAACAACCACUAAUCUCUCACACGUCUAAAACCAUCCCCUCUGACGCUUUAUCCACGCUUUAGUAAGCAUGUGUCCGCGAUGACUCCAGUACCUUUGACGCUGCCAGAGCCAAUUGUUUGGUUGACACUACCAAGAGUGUAGCGUUGCAGCUUUCGAGAUGUGCUUCGGUGAGGACAAGUGAUGUAUACACAACAAUGUGCUAUGUAUAUACACAAUAAUGUGUUAUGUGUAUCUACACCAAAAAAGGCCGUUGGCUGACACGCCAAGAGUGUAGAUUCGGCACUGUCGAGAUGUGCUUCAGUGAGGAUAAGUUAUGUGAUCUACACAACAAUGUGCUAUGUGAUAUACACAAUAAUGUGUUAUGUGAUCUACGCAACAAUGUGUGUGUGCUUAAAACUCCACAGGCCAUCUAGAUGGAUCAGAUCUCAAGGACCGACACAAACUGGGAAAAUAAUUGAAUAAGUAAUAUCAAAUAUUAGUUAAUUCGUCGCGUUCGUUCAAUGAGAAUAAAACAAGCAAAUAGGUCUUCAUCAUUUGCUAUGGCGACUUAACCUUCAAUUCCAUCGUAAAAAUAACCGGCAAAUAAAUUGUUAAUUGACAUGAAAGAUUCAGUAGAAUUCCGGCGUCGUCGCGUCCGUCGCCUUCCCCGCAUAGAAUUUGCGCGUGGGUUUUCCACCCAGGGAAAGGACGGGGAUCCCGGCGGGAAUUGGGACAACCAAACGAGCCCUAAACCUUAGCCACGUUCUCGGUGCCGCCGGCUGCUGCGUGUAUUAAUUAUCAAACUAAUCAUUGCUUUCUUUGUCCGAGAAUCAAACUAAUCAUUUCGUUCCCAAAACAACCUAAAAAAAGGGAGCAAGGACACCAGGGUGCUGCAGAUUCUUCAGAAGAAGGUGCUGAACUUGCUUGGAGCAACCGUUGAGAUAGCAGAGCAUGGGUCCAUUGCCGUGGCCAUGUUCAAAUAUGCUCUCGAGGAGUGUUUUCAUGGACUGCUAGGUAAUUCAAGGUGGCUGUGGACAUGAGGAAGACACCCUUUUAGAGGUGUAAGACGACCCUGACAUGCGGGGCCCAUCUGUCAAAGGUAGAGAGGGGAGAGAGAGCCCGGGCAGAUCUCAGCCGUUGGAUUUAAUUGAAGAUUUGAAGAUACCCCAUCGGUCCGUAUACAAUUCGUAUAAAGGACCGUAUAUUACUCACUUAAAAAAGUUUAGUGUCUCAAAAGUCAACAUUCGUGAGUUUAGCCAGGGCCAUAUUUGGCGCUCCGUCCCUCUGUACCUCGAUGACAAGAGCAUGAUCUGCUCCACUGACGGUGACACCGAGGACAUCUCCUGCCUUAUCACCUCCCACUAGAGGUGGAGGCCCCUCCACGGCGCUGUCUUUUAUUGUUUGUGUACAACACAUAUCAUUUGUAUACACUUCACCCAUUAAGUCAUGUCUUUCACUGUUUGUGUACAACACAUAUCCUUGUACACACUUCAAAUGUACAUUUCACAGAUUAGCCAUCUCUUUCAAUGUUUGUGUACACCACAUAUCCUCAUAUACACUUCACACAUUAAGCCAUGCCUUUCGUUGUUUGUGUAAACACAUAUCCUCGUAUACACUUCAAUGCACAUUUCACACAUUAAGACGAGUACAACGCGGCUCAGAUUAGACUAAGAAAUGGCGUGGUCAAGAGGUAUUUUCUAUUUUGGUGUAUACCAAUGCGCAAUUGCUAUGUACUAUGGCCCUAAAAGCUAGGACAGCCUGGCCCAAAGCCCGACGUUCCUGGCCGGGCCUGAGUUCCCUGCCUGAAGUCUGGCUCGAAAGCCCAAAAAAAGGUUGAAGUCCAUUACCAUAUUUUUUUUAAAGGUAUAAAAUCAUAUUUGUCUCGAAAAAGAUUAAUUUAGUACCAAAAAAGACAUUUUUCGGGCCUUGGGCCAGGACUGGGCUUGGGUUUUGCAGCUGGGCUUUAUGAAUGUUGGACGGCUGUGGGGAUUUAGCAGCAAACAGAAAGCAUGGCCAUGACGGGGAAGUAGUCCACCUUUGUUACUGAAUAGCCUACCAGUGGUGGUUCAAAAUCGACCUUACUGACGAUUGGCCGAACCACUACGAUCUCACGCCACUGUUGGGUACCCCUCCAGUGGUGGUUUCUGAAACCACCACUGUUGGGGUACAUUAGCAGGGGUUCAUAACCCGCCACCGGUGAGUGUACGGUAACCGCCACUUGUAUAGGGUGGGCACAGGCGCUGGUGGCUGGCCGGUUUCGUGAUGACCGCAUGUUCCCCGUCUCUCUUCUGAUCACCCCACCGCAUGGUACCUACACUAUUUUUACGCUUGAGACCUGUUCAAAUUGCAUGAGAUUGCAUGCAUGCAGCAAUGGAUCUCCCCCCAAGUAUGCUUCUCCGGUUACAGAUUGCACCAAAGAAUAAUCACAAAACAGAAAACAUUUUGAUAAGUUGCCUAGCUUAGCUUGGGGCUGUUCAUGCAUGCAUUCGUGCCCGGCUGCAAAAUCCAACACUAACGUUCUUGACUAAGCCCAACACUAAAAUAAUAUAAAUCCACGUGUGUAAAUGCGAUUGGGCCCAUAUAAUAUGUGGGCCGAAGAGUAUGGGCAUAAGCCGUAAGUGCGUGAAGGCCGGAACCUGGCCCAAACUAUGUUUUCCCUUUAUUUUGAUGUUGACUAUUUACAUCCUUUUUCGUCUUGUACAUCAGUACCUAUUGUAUGUUUUACUGCAACAAUCUCCUAACCGUGGGCUGAGAGCAUUAUUUUGUUGUGAAAUUGUGUGGUUUGAAGAACUUAGACCUUCUGAGUUGGAACUUGGAGGCUUCAUUUUAAGUUUGCAUUUGUACGACAGGAAAACACGGAUGAAUUAUAUGUGAUGUUAAGAAUGCUGAAGUUAGUGCACAGCUCUGUGUAAAGUACCUUGCUGUGAGACAAAAAAAAAUCCCUAUCAAUUGAUGUGGGGGAAAUAAAAAAGGUAACAUGACAUCAGUAUUGCCUGCUUUUGGGGGCCAUGACAUGCUACUCAAUUUUAUCUUUUGGAUUGUGCUAACUUGACAUCAUUUUUGUCUGAUUGUUUGGAUCAUACCAUAGUGCCAUAGUUCGGUCUUUUGACACUGUCUAAGAGUAAGUGCCCUGUACUGUUCAGUGUUCUUUUAUUUGUUUUUAAUUAUAUACAAUUAGUACUAUGCGCCCUGUCCCCUGAAUUAAGGAAGGAGUUACUAUCAGAUGAUGCAGUCCUUCCCGUAAAGUUUUGCAGCUUGUACAAACAAUUAACAUCACGUUUGGCCGGUGCAAUGCUCUGCAUAAACAAAUUGAAUGUUUGCUAAUGUUAUUUAUUAGAUCAACUGGUGUCAUAUCCUCUUGCAGAUCUGUUUGUAAUUCAUCUAUGUGUAGGUUUGUAGCUUAUUGUAUUGCCCCCUCUUUUUUCUGAAUGAUAAUGUGGGAAUUCAUUUCGUGGUUCCUUUACUGUAUUUUACUCUUUGUUUGCAUUAUGUGUCCUGUGGUGCAUGGGGCUUCUCUUCAGUCAGUUGGUCCAUAAGCAUGAAUUGUUAGCUGUGUUUACUGUAGGUGGAACCCAUUUUAUUAUAUUCAAUGCAAGGAUUCUAGCAUCUGCUUUGGAAGUAUUAUGCCUAGGACUUUAGCUUCGUUGUCUUGUACCUUGAUGUCAUCUGAUUUGACCAUGAAAACUUAACAUUUUUGUUAUCUGUAUUUUAACAUGAGCAUGAACAUUGAUGUUAUGGAGACUAAGACUAUAUGGACGAAGCUGUGAUAUUUGGUCUGAGAAAAAAAAAAUCUGAUUUGACAGAACAUAGGUGCAAUUUAUAUUGAGAACCACCACGAUCAGCCACUCUUAUGUUGCUGAAAAUUGGGUUUUCAGACUAAUCUCUUUUGUAAGUAGCACCUUUCACGAGUAUCGUCUUUCCAAUGGAAUGGAAGUGCAAUGAAAAGUAAAGUUAGCUAGUCUUUCUUGGGAACCAUUAACAAUGUGAAAAUUUCAGGAGAAGGUUGGAGCUGAUCGUGAACAAGAAACGAAUAUACCGCGUAAUUAAGUGCAUAUGAUGAAAGGUGAUGAGGUCACCAACUAGAGGAAGAUGGUUACAGCUAUAGUGCCUAUGUGAAUACUUUUUGCUUAAUUUCUGAUUAGAGCGGAAAGAGACCAAAGGGCUCAAUUCCACUAGCCUCAGAACCCGGGAGCUGCUCCCGAGAUGGUUCUCUAAAGAACAAUUAUCUUGGAUAAUUAAAUAGUACUAGUAGCUAAAGAUGUAUAGCUCGAGUGUGAAUUGACCCCCGCCCACCAAUUACAUAUUUGAAUCUCUAAUCAUCCCACAGUUUGUGCACUCUGAUUAAUUUUUGUGGUCUACAACUACAUUCCUUGGGUGCUUUUGUAUUGGUUGAUUCAACAGGUUUUAUGUGGUUUUGUCUUACUAAAGCGAUUGGUAUUCAUUGAUGUUCAUACUUGACAUAAAAGAUGCGUUAAUUUGGUUUAUAUUAGAUUAAUAAUUUUUGAACUUGUGACGAAAUGAAGUUCUUCAAGAAAAUACGAAAUGUUAGGUAUUUCUCAUGAGUUAUCUUGAAGCUUAGCUGGUUAAACUUGAUUUAUUUUAUGUGUCUUCUUCGUUUAAUAAUCAAGAAAGAUUUAACUGGUUAAAGUUCCUUGAACUUUCUAUUCUUUAUAUCUGAUCUAGUGGCUUGUUAGGCCAAAUAACUUGGGAAAAAAGUCAUAUAUCAAUACUUCUACCUCUAUCUAUUUGCAAGUCCAUAUAUUUCCUUCAGGGUCGUCCGCUGUUUCAGUGAAUGAUAUUCUUGGAGAGGUUCAGAGUGCCCGUGGUAGAUGCAUCUUUGUUCGGUAACACCUCGUAGACGCAAGGCAGACCCAGAAAGAUUCAGAAGGUAACCAUUUGGAUGUGAGCUAGAAAAGAGCUGACGUGCAUAAAAAACUGUUCGGGUCAAUUUGUCUUCCUUUUGGCCCAAUUCAAGCUUCUUUUUCUUUGUAGUUUUCAUUUGAAAAGGCACAAAAGUGCAUAUUAUUAGCCACCCCGCUCCAUGGCUUUUUGUUUGUUCAUUGUUCAUCAGUCAUCACCAAGUAAGGCACAUACUCACUUGUUUAUUGGUAAUACAUGUCUAUCCUGCUCUUAAUUGCUUGGAGUUAAACAAAUGCCACCUCCCACUGCACAAUGAUGCAUACCUAUGUAGUACUUGUUCCACCAUCUCCUUCUCACAUGAUACCUAUCCUUCUCCUUGUGUUAUUGUAUCCUUCAUGGUCUUUUUACCCGCCCAUGUGCCCUACCACAUCCCCACCCCUCAUGUCUAGAUUCUCUCAUCCUCAUUUUCUCUCACUCGCACCAUUUUAAUCCUUAAACAAUGCAAUAUUUUUCUCAUUGCUGUUGCUUGCAAGCUAGCUUUCAAAUACUUCUGUUGUGGAUUCCCUUUCCCCUUUCUGUUUGAAAUUUGCCCACCUUUGCUUCUCUUGGGCUUUAAACUCACCUUUUAUUUCUAAUUUGUAUGGUUAACAUGUAAUUUACCCUCUUAACAUAUAAUGUAACACAUGAGUGCCAAUAGCCACACCAUCUUAUGGGGACCUACAAGCAAAUGGAAUAUUGCAGAGAUACAGUCACGCGGCAAGUAUCCCUAGAGUCCACUGCCUCACGUGACAGACUAAUCGCUUUUGCUUAAUCUAAUCAAAGAUAUAUAUGUGGUGCAUUGAGAUGCCUUUCAACUAUAGGUCGAGUUAAAUACCAUUAUGAAUUAGAUGCAUAAGCAUCACGAGAGCAGACUUCAGGAACUUGCCAACAAAACUGCCAAUACCAUAUGCAUCAAAACACCAAAUGGAAUGAGUAAACAAGUUAAAGUUGGUAGAUCUAGCUGAUGUGGGUAAAAACCUCGAAAAUUGUGCAUUGUGCUAAUGUUCCUGCUCCUUUCUUGUUUACUCUUCCACCAGCAAGUAUAACUUGCUCCCACCAUUCGACCAUUCCGUUGCAUCUGUGUAAAUCAAGUUGAGCAAUUGCAGGUUAUGCCAGCUUUCAGUUUCCCUGAAGAUGAACUGUUAAUCACAAUUCAUAGACACUGUUCUCGGAUCUAUUUGGUAUGAGAAAAUGUGGGUUGUCGCAUAACAACAGAGUCUUCAACGAGGAACAGAAGACCAACCAACUGAGUUGAUAUCAGCGAUCACGGAUGGAGAGGCCAGAAGUAGCAGAUUUGUCAACCCUUUGAAGCGGUUAUUGUUUCGGUGACAUGUUAUUGGAGAAUUUCCUUGUGUUUUACUCUUAAUUUCUAGUCGUAACUAUUGUCAGUGCUUCCUGACAAUCGGCUCGAUCUCGCCCCAGGCUUCUUCUUUUUUUGGCUUUGGACUUGUAGCAUUUCCUCUUGAUGCAAAAAUACAGAAUCUUCAUUCAUAUUAUUCUUCACAAGAAAAUAGUUUACAUGUCGUAACUACUUAUAGGUAGACAGUAGACUAUGUUUACCAUUUUGUUAGGCACAUAACAGCACAAUUCACAAUCACUGUAUCUUUUUACUAAUUUUGCAAAAUGUUUUCGUAUGCCUAGUCGAUUUGUUAACUCAUUGAUGGUUCGACUUGUGUAUGCAGGUUAAUACUAGAUCAGAUUAUUUGGCUCUUUGUUCUUGUAAACUCUGCUCUUCACUGUAAAAGACUGUACCCUAUCUUUUUGGGUAAAACAACCAACACUGCAGAUAGAAGUUCUAUUUCCAAUGUAAAUCCUCUGCAAGUUUCAUCUUCUAUGGGAUUAGUACUGCUGCACUGGUUGAUCAGAACUGCUCAUUUACCAAUGGGAAUUUGGAGUGGAAGGUAGAUCUAGAUCUGUGUGCCUGCAAAAUUUCCUGUACUUUUACUAGUAUAACACAUCUGCAUAACACAAAGUACAAGGGGCAGUAAUUAACUGUGUGUUUGGCAGUGAGAAAGGCAAGAUUAGAUCUAACCAUGAGCAUGUGACAGCCUCUUCAUUGAUGUGUUCACUUCAGAUCCAAUCCAUUCCGUUUAAUCUGCCAAGGAACAGCCUCUGCCAUGAGGUUUUGUAUAUUGUUACUGUAUGGAAUGAACUGUUUCUUCCCUGUGUCAUGUGUUACCACUGAGUGACCAGCUGUGAUGUCUCUUUUUUAUUCUUGUGUUUAACUUUCUACUCUGACUAGUGGAGAUUGAUUCUUCCCACCUCAGUAGUUCAAUUGUCACCCUGCAAUGCCCAUAAUUACAUAUCAGGGCUUACUCAGUUAUCAUGGUAUCUCAUUAAGGAAUGAAGUGUCCAAUACUGUAAUUUAACUUGGAAAGGAAAGGACAAAGAUUCAUUAACAUUAAGGAUACGUUUCUCCAUUUUUUUUCCAUUAUCAUUUUAUUUAUUCUGACAUCUACACUUGGUGAGCUCAGUUGUCACUUUGUCGGAAAUCAGUAUAUAUUUAGAGCCUCUAUCUUACUGCAGC
rnacentral:lncRNA from 1 species